UUGCCCGAAUCCUGACACAGGGAGGUAGUGACAAGAAAUAACAAUACAGGGCUACUUCUAGUCUUGUAAUUGGAAUGAGUACAACUUACAUCUCUUCACGAGGAUCAAUUGGAGGGCAAGUCUGGUGCCAGCAGCCGCGGUAAUUCCAGCUCCAAUAGCGUAUAUUAAAGUUGUUGCAGUUAAAAAGCUCGUAGUCGGAUUUCGGGUCGGGCCGAGCGGUCUGCCGAUGGGUAUGCACUGUUCGGCGCGGCCUUCUUUCCGGAGACCGCGGCUACUCUUAACUGAGCGGGCGUGGGAGACGGAUCGUUUACUUUGAAAAAAUCAGAGUGUUUCAAGCAGGCAGCUCGCUCUUGCAUGGAUUAGCAUGGGAUAAUGAAAUAGGACUCUGGUGCUAUUUUGUUGGUUUCGAACACCGGAGUAAUGAUUAACAGGGACAGUCAGG
rnacentral:rRNA from 1 species